rnacentral:rRNA from 1 species
GGAGGUUGUGCCCUUGAGGCGUGGCUUCCGGAGCUAACGCGUUAAGUAGACCGCCUGGGGAGUACGGCCGCAAGGUUAAAACUCAAAUGAAUUGACGGGGGCCCGCACAAGCGGUGGAGCAUGUGGUUUAAUUCGAUGCAACGCGAAGAACCUUACCUGGUCUUGACAUCCACGGAACUUUCCAGAGAUGGAUUGGUGCCUUCGGGAACCGUGAGACAGGUGCUGCAUGGCUGUCGUCAGCUCGUGUUGUGAAAUGUUGGGUUAAGUCCCGCAACGAGCGCAACCCUUAUCCUUUGUUG